rnacentral:tRNA from 1 species
GGAGAGGUGGCAGAGUGGUCGAAUGCGGCGGUCUUGAAAACCGUUAUACUCGUGAGGGUAUCGGGGGUUCGAAUCCCUCCCUCUCCG